AACGAACGCUGGCGGCAUGCCUAACACAUGCGAGUCGAACGAGACCUUCGGGUCUAGUGGCGCACGGGUGCGUAACGCGUGGGAACCUGCCCUUAGGUUCGGAAUAACUCCCCGAAAGGGGUGCUAAUACCGGAUAAUGUCUUCGGACCAAAGAUUUAUCGCCUUUGGAUAGGCCCGCGUUGGAUUAGCUAGUUGGUAGGGUAAAAGCCUACCAAGGCGACGAUCCAUAGCUGGUCUGAGAGGAUGAUCAGCCACACUGGGACUGAGACACGGCCCAGACUCCUACGGGAGGCAGCAGUGGGGAAUAUUGGACAAUGGGCGAAAGCCUGAUCCAGCAAUGCCGCGUGAGUGAUGAAGGCCUUAGGGUUGUAAAGCUCUUUUACCCGGGAUGAUAAUGACAGUACCGGGAGAAUAAGCGCCGGCUAACUCCGUG
rnacentral:rRNA from 1 species